rnacentral:rRNA from 1 species
GGCUGAGUGGUAAGAAUUUACUCAGUCCGGCCUGCCCACUGUAUUGGUUUAUAAAGGGCCGCGGUAAUUUGACCGUGCAAAGGUAGCAUAAUAAAUAGUCUUUUAAUUGGAGACUGGAAUGAAUGGUCAGAUGAGGGACAAACUGUCUUUUCUCUUUUUUUAAAAUUUAACUUUUUAGUGAAAAGGCUGAGAUUAAUUGGAGGGACGAUAAGACCCUAUAAAACUUGAUAAAUUAUGAUUUAUCUUAGGAUUUAUGUUGUUUAAUUUGAAUUAGAUUGUGUUUUAUUUCGUUGGGGCGACGUGGAUAUAAUUUUUAACUGUCUGUAAAAAUUAAUAGUGUUAAUUAGAUUUUGAACUUGUUUUAGGGAUUAAAAGAUAAAGUUACUUUAGGGAUAACAGCGUAAUUUUCUUUGAGAGUUCUUAUCGACAAGAGUAGUUGCGACCUCGAUGUUGAAUUAAAAUUUUAGAAUGGUGUAGCCGCUAUUUAUAUGGGUCUGUUCGACCUUUAAAAUUUU